rnacentral:rRNA from 1 species
GACGAACGCUGGCGGCGUGCUUAACACAUGCAAGUCGAACGGAAAGGCCCCUUUGGGGGUACUCGAGUGGCGAACGGGUGAGUAACACGUGAGUAACCUGCCCUUGACUUCGGGAUAACUUCAGGAAACUGGGGCUAAUACCGGAUAGGAAUCCUUGCUGCAUGGUGGGGGUUGGAAAGUUUCGGCGGUUUUGGAUGGACUCGCGGCUUAUCAGCUUGUUGGUGGGGUAGUGGCUUACCAAGGCUUUGACGGGUAGCCGGCCUGAGAGGGCGACCGGCCACAUUGGGACUGAGAUACGGCCCAGACUCCUACGGGAGGCAGAAGUGGGGAAUAUUGCACAAUGGGCGGAAGCCUGAUGCAGCAACGCCGCGUGCGGGAUGACGGCCUUCGGGUUGUAAACCGCUUUCAGCAGGGGCGAAGCUUGUGGUGACGGUACCUGCAGAAGAAGCACCGGCUAACUACGUG